CCCUUUGAUACUCUGGGCGGCACGCGUGCUACACUGGUUUAUAUAACGUGUAAUUUGGACGAUAGUCUGUAUAAAUCACUAAUAUAAAACCGUGAAUGGGAUAGUUUAUUGCAACUUACAAACUUUAACUAGGAAUCCCUUGUAGAAGUAGUGAAUUAUACUGCUUCGAAUACGUCCCUGCCGAUUGUACACACCGCCCGUCGUUUCUUCCGACUGGUACUCAUUGUGAAUUGCGAGGAGAUUCUGUCAAAUCGUUGUAAAUGCUGGGUAUUGGAGGAAGAAAAAGUCGUAACA
rnacentral:rRNA from 1 species